CAGGGCGUAGCUACAAAAUAAAGCAUUCAGCUUACACCUGAAAGAUAUCUGCCCUACCCAGAUCGCCCUGA
rnacentral:tRNA from 1 species